UCCAAAUGUCGAUUAUUCCUUCUGUGGCAC
rnacentral:piRNA from 1 species